GGAGGGGUGGCCGAGCGGUUUAAGGCACCGGUCUUGAAAACCGGCAGGAAGGUAACUUUCUCGUGGGUUCGAAUCCUACCCCCUCCACCA
rnacentral:tRNA from 1 species